rnacentral:rRNA from 1 species
AGUGAACGCUGGCGGUAGGCCUAACACAUGCAAGUCGAACGGCAGCACAGUAAGAUCUUGCUCUUACGGGUGGCGAGUGGCGUACGUGUGAGGAAUACAUCGGAAUCUACUUUUUCUUGGGGGAUAACGUAGGUAAACUUACGCUAAUACCUCAUACGACCUACCGUUUAAUUCAGGGGUUCUUCGUACCUUUCUCGUUUGUUUUAGCCGAUGUCGGAUUAGCUAGUUGGCUGGGUAAAUUCCCACCAAGGCGACGAUCCGUAGCUGGUCUGAGAGGAUGAGCAGCAACACUGGAAGUGAGACACGGAACAGACUCCUACGGGAGGAAGCAGUGGGGAAUAGUGGACAAUGGGCGAAAGCAUGAUACAGCAAUACCGCGUGGGUGAAGAAGGCCUUCGGGUUGUAAAGCCCUUUUGUUGGGAAAGAAAAGAAGCAGGUUAAUACCCCGCUGUUCUGACGGUACCAAAAGAAUAAGCACCGGCUAACUUCGUG